GGGGCUGACAGGCAUUCGAUUGCGUGUCAACUUACUGAGAAGCGUGCCGGGAAGCAACGCCCGUAACAGUGCAACCUUGAUAAGCGCAAACGCUCAUCAGUCCGACUACGUCCUAGCGGCAUAGUCCGGUGGGGUAUAACGGUUUACCCGUUCCGUGUACCAAUCCACCGUCGCCAAUACGGGGAACCCUCAAAGGUGACGAAGAAACACUACGCAGAGGCUAACAGCGCAAGUGACGCAGCGUCGGUGGCAAGCCCGACGAACCGCUUUGUGUAGGGCAGCGGUAUAGAAGCAGCCAAAUCACUACGCACGUAGAAGGCAGUGAAGAGAAGCGUAAGACUGCGGUUCAAUUCCGCACAGCUCCAC
rnacentral:tmRNA from 2 species